UGGGGAAUAUUGGACAAUGGGGGAAACCCUGAUCCAGCCAUGCCGCGUGAGUGAAGAAGGCCUUAGGGUUGUAAAGCUCUUUUACUCGGGAAGAUAAUGACUGUACCGGGAGAAUAAGCCCCGGCUAACUUCGUGCCAGCAGCCGCGGUAAUACGAAGGGGGCUAGCGUUGUUCGGAAUCACUGGGCGUAAAGCGCACGCAGGCGGAUUGAUAAGUCAGGGGUGAAAUCCCGAGGCUCAACCUCGGAAUUGCCUUUGAUACUGUCUGUCUUGAGUUCGGGAGAGGUUGGCGGAAUUCCUAGUGUAGAGGUGAAAUUCGUAGAUAUUAGGAAGAACACCAGUGGCGAAGGCGGCCAACUGGCCCGAUACUGACGCUCAUGUGCGAAAGCGUGGGGAGCAAACAGGAUUAGAUACCCGCGUAGUCC
rnacentral:rRNA from 1 species